GAUGAACGCUAGCUACAGGCUUAACACAUGCAAGUCGAGGGGAAACGACAUUGAAGCUUGCUUCGAUGGUCGUCGACCGGCGCACGGGUGAGUAACGCGUAUCCAACCUGCCUCUGACCAAGGGAUAACCCGUCGAAAGUCGGCCUAAUACCUUAUGCAGUCGUCGGAAGUCAUCUGAUGACGACGAAAGAUUUCAUCGGUGAGAGAUGGGGAUGCGUCUGAUUAGCUUGUUGGCGGGGUAACGGCCCACCAAGGCAACGAUCAGUAGGGGUUCUGAGAGGUGGGGCCCCCACAGUGGAACCGAGACACGGUCCAAACACCUACGGGAGGCAGCAGUGAGGAAUAUUGGUGAAUGGGCGAGAGCCUGAACCAGCCAAGUAGCGUGCAGGAUGACGGCCCUAUGGGUUGUAGACUGCUUUUAUGCGGGGAUAAAGUGAGGGACGUGUCCGACAUUGCAGGUACCGCAUGAAUAAGGACCGGCUAAUUCCGUG
rnacentral:rRNA from 1 species